rnacentral:lncRNA from 1 species
AAAGAACAUGGGUUCUUGGCCCAGCGUUCUCAGUCCACCCCCGCCUCCGCUGUCCGCUCCUCUAGCGACAGCUUCGAACAGGUCCGUCGCGUCGCCCGAGAGAAGGAGAGAGAGAAACAGCUAAAAGCACAGGCCAGGAGAGAGCAGGAGAAACUACGUAGCCUUGACGACGAGGACUCUGUGGACCAGCAGAGGGAGCUGGCGAGACGCCGCGAGCAGGAAAGGAGGAGGAGAGAGAUGGCGGACACCAUUGACAUCAACUUCCAGAGCGACUUGAUGGUCAUCUUUGAAGAGAACCUUUUCUGAGAGAGAGAUUGAGAAAGGAGGAGAGGGAGAGAAAGAGAUAUGAACUCUACCUUAUCCCACCAUGGCUGGGAUUUCACACACAACACCCUCCCUCCCUCUGAUUAGAGACCCCAGACCAGGAUGUGAGCUCCAGAGACUUGAAGGAGACUGAGGUGAGGUACAGUAAUAAGGAGAUGCCCUCCCUCCCUCUGAUUAGAGACCCCAGACCAGGAUGUGAGCUCCAGAGACUUGAAGGAGACUGAGGUGAGGUACAGUAAUAAGGAGUAGCCCUCCCUCCCUCUGAUUAGAGACCCCAGACCAGGAUGUGAGCUCCAGAGACUUGAAGGAGACUGAGGUGAGGUACAGUAAUAAGGAGAUGCCCUCCCUCCCUCUGAUUAGAGACCCCAGACCAGGAUGUGAGCUCCAGAGACUUGAAGGAGACUGAGGUGAGGUACAGUAAUAAGGAGAAGCCCUCCCUCCCUCUGAUUAGAGACCCCAGACCAGGAUGUGAGCUCCAGAGACUUGAAGGAGACUGAGGUGAGGUACAGUAAUAAGGAGUAGCCCUCCCUCCCUCUGAUUAGAGACCCCAGACCAGGAUGUGAGCUCCAGAGACUUGAAGGAGACUGAGGUGAGGUACAGUAAUAAGGAGUAGCCCUCCCUCCCUCUGAUUAGAGACCCCAGACCAGGAUGUGAGCUCCAGAGACUUGAAGGAGACUGAGGUGAGGUACAGUAAUAAGGAGAAGCCUCCCCCCCUUAGCGGUGGGGACCGGGAGUACAACUUCCACUUUUUGCAAUUUCAGAUGCGUUUUUUUGUGUCUAACUGCCCGUUUAUCGUUGAUGAUUGGUGGUUGCCGUGGGCAAUGGUGAAACCGGAUACCUAUGGAUAAACAGAUAUGUGAACUCCUCUUGUAUUCUGAAAUGAAACCGGAGGGAGGAGGGGAGGACUGAGAACUAUUACCUGAACAUAAAGAAUAAAAAGAGGGUUUAAUGGAGAAAGAAGAUGUGAACACCUUCUAACGUGCGAGAGGGAGGGCCGGGCGAACGAGAGGAUGGACAGACUUCUUUCUCUUUGAUUCAUUUCUCUCUUAAUCUAGAAUUUUUCUCUCCCUGUUUUUUGAUGUUGGGUUUUAUUAAGCGGGGUGGGUGAGGAGAUGGGGGAGGGAGAAGUGGGCCGGCUGUGUGUGUUACCAUGUUUACGUCCCAAAAGGGCACCCUAUUCCCUUCAUAUAGUGCACUACUUGUGUCCAGGGCCCAUGGGGAUCUGAUCAAAAGUGGUGCGCUAUAUAGGGAGUAGGGUGCCAUUUGGGACUUAUCCUCUGAGAUGGGUUCAGUUUCUCUCCGGACAGCAAGAUGAACACCGGGCUCACACCCCAGCACUAUAAAGAAGCACCCUUCCUUCCUUCCUUCCUUCCUUCUUACUCUCCUUGUCCUUUGUGACAUCACUGACUUGACACAACUUGAAAGUGUAAAAGCUUGAACUCCAUUUUUUCAGUCAUAUCUGAUUCAUUGAUUAUUUCAAGAAAGGAGGCAGAGAGGGAAGGAAGGAGGGAACGAGGGGAAAAAGAGGAAGGAUGAGUGAAGAGAGGAGGGAGAGAGGGAAGGAAGGAGGGAACGAGGGUAAAAAGAGGAAGGAUGAGUGAAGAGAGGAGGGAGAGAGGGAAGGAAGGAGGGAACGAGGGGAAAAAGAGGAAGGAUGAGUGAAGAAAGGAGGGAAGGAAGGAGGGAAGGAAGAGAGGGAAGAAAGGAGGGAAGGAAGAGAGGGAAGAAAAGAGGGAAGGAAGAGAGGGAAGAAAAGAGGGAAGAAAGGAGGGAAGGAAG